rnacentral:miRNA from 1 species
GUGUGUGCGCGCACACACACACACAUAUAUAUACACGUGUGUGUGUGUGUGUGUGCAUACAU